UGUUGGGAUACCACCCUUGCAGUACUGGGUUUCUAACCAGCGGCCUUAAUCAGGUCGGGGGACAAUGUCAGGUGGGGAGUUUGACUGGGGCGGUCGCCUCCGAAAGGGUAUCGGAGGCGCUCAAAGGUUCCCUCAGAAUGGUCGGAAACCAUUCGAAGAGUGCAAAGGCAGAAGGGAGCUUGACUGCGACACCGACGGGUGGAGCAGGUACGAAAGUAGGACUUAGUGAUCCGGUGGUAUAAAGUGGGAUUGCCAUCGCUCAACGGAUAAAAGCUACCCUGGGGAUAACAGGCUUAUCACUCCCAAGAGUUCACAUCGACGGAGUGGUUUGGCACCUCGAUGUCGGCUCAUCGCAUCCUGGGGCUGAAGUAGGUCCCAAGGGUUGGGCUGUUCGCCCAUUAAAGCGGUACGCGAGCUGGGUUCAGAACGUCGUGAGACAGUUCGGUCCCUAUCCGGCGUGGGCGUAGGAUAUUUGAGAGGAGCUGUCCUUAGUACGAGAGGACCGGGAUGGACUGGCCGCUGGUUGAUCUGUUGUUCCGCCAGGAGCAUAGCAGAGUAGCCAAGCCGGGACGGGAUAAACGCUGAAGGCAUCUAAGCGUGAAGCCCCCCUCAAGAUGAGAUAUCCCAACGAAAGUUGUAAGACCCCUUGAAGACGACGAGGUAGAUAGGACAGAGGUGGAAGUGUGGUAACACAUGGAGCUGACUGUUACUAAUAGGUCGAGGGCAUAACCAAG
rnacentral:rRNA from 1 species